rnacentral:rRNA from 1 species
UACGUAGGACGCAAGCGUUUAUCCGGAAUUAUUGGGCGUAAAGAGCUCGUAGGCGGUUUGUCGCGUCUGCCGUGAAAGUCCGGGGCUCAACUCCGGAUCUGCGGUGGGUACGGGCAGACUAGAGUGAUGUAGGGGAGACUGGAAUUCCUGGUGUAGCGGUGAAAUGCGCGGAUAUCAGGAGGAACACCGGUGGCGAAGGCGGGUCUCUGGGCCGAUACUGACGCUGAGGAGCGAAAGCGUGGGGAGCGAACAGG